GCCUCCUAUCAGCGCCGGUGUGCUGGCCAUGCCCAGCCAGGACUGGAAGGCAGGAUCAUGACAAAGUCCUUCCAAGAUGAUCUUUUAAAAGUAAGGCGGGAACAUUAUCCUCAAUAACUUCUCAGCACCUUUAAAGAAGUACAGUUACACGGCACUGUGAAACCACGGUUGAUGUGUGGAAGGACAUCGGAAAUUGUGAGUUAUUCUCACUGCAGUUGAAUCCACUGAGAGACUACUUGUCCUUUUUAGGACCUAAGUCCUAAUCCACUACCUUGUGUACUUCACCGGAAGUAUGUCGUAGCUGUUCGUGAUCCCGUCAACCUUCGUCCACCGAGGGGCGAUUGGACUCUGGCACUGGCCUGGCCACGAAUUCACGUCCCACCAGGGCUUUUCUUCAGGAACAGCUAAAUGCUCCUGCCUGUCGACAGACUUCGGUGUGUCUUCUCCGUCCUCGAUGGGCAGUGGUGUGUUGGGGAUCCGACUCGAAUGACCAAAUGUCAGUUUUAAAAAGCUUGACUCUCUAUUAAAAGAAGGCGAACAGACAA